rnacentral:rRNA from 1 species
UCGAACGGGGAGAUUCAUCGUCAGCGACGUUGGCUUCGUGUCGGUGGGCGAUGUCCUGUGAAUCGCUCGGUUCGCGGGCACGCUACCGUGCGCGCAUGUCCGGCAUUGCCGUCGUGCACUUCUCCCCUAGUAGGACGUCGCGACCCGCUGGGUGUCGGUCUACGGGCCGGGUGUGGUGUCUGUCGUGUCGUCGGUAAAAUGGCACGCGGCAAACCCCCGGUCACCUGGCCGGCUGCCCGGCGGU